rnacentral:rRNA from 1 species
GACGAACGCUGGCGGCGUGCUUAACACGUGCAAGUCGAACGGAAAGGCCCUGCUUUUGUGGGGUGCUCGAGUGGCGAACGGGUGAGUAACACGUGAGUAACCUGCCCUUGACUUUGGGAUAACUUCAGGAAACUGGGGCUAAUACCGGAUAGGAGCUCCUGCUGCAUGGUGGGGGUUGGAAAGUUUCGGCGGUUGGGGAUGGACUCGCGGCUUAUCAGCUUGUUGGUGGGGUAGUGGCUUACCAAGGCUUUGACGGGUAGCCGGCCUGAGAGGGUGACCGGCCACAUUGGGACUGAGAUACGGCCCAGACUCCUACGGGAGGCAGCAGUGGGGAAUAUUGCACAAUGGGCGGAAGCCUGAUGCAGCAACGCCGCGUGCGGGAUGACGGCCUUCCGGUUGUAAACCGCUUUCGCCUGUGACGAAGCGUGAGUGACGGUAAUGGGUAAAGAAGCACCGGCUAACUACGUG